AUGGAAGUGAAUAAGUCUCACAAGAUCUGAUGGUUUUAUAAGAGGAAACCCCUUUUGCUUGGCUCCAAUUCUUCUCCAUGCUUCCCCAUGUAAGAUGUGCCUUUCACCUUCUGCCAUGAUUAUGAGGCCUCCCGAGCCACGUGGAACUGGUCUUCAUUACUCCAGCCAAAAAAAUAGUAAUGAAAAUGGAAACACUUCAAGGUUUCUUUGAAGACUAGAAAUAAGUUGGUGAAGGAUAUGGCAUAUAACAGAGCUGGAACACCCUUCUUCUCCUGCCUUUGGACAUCAGAACUUCAGAUUCUCUGGCCUUCAGACUUCAAGACUUGCACUAGUGGCCCCCUGGGUUCUCAAGGUUUUGGCCGCCUCGGUUGAGAGUUACACCAUCGGCUUCUUUGGUUCUGAGGCCGUUGGAGUUGGACUGAGCCAUGCUACCAGCUUCCCUGGGUCUCCAGCCUGCAGAUUGCCUACUGUGAGAUUUAGCCUCCAUAAUCACGUGAGCCAAUUCUCUUAACAAAUCACUUCUCAUAUCUUUCUCCUUCUACAUAUCUUAUUGGCUUUGUCUCUGUGGAGAACCCUGAUUAAUACAGCUUCUAAACUGAUAAAUGCUCACUUAUACCCA
ensembl:lncRNA novel transcript